ACACGGACACACACACACGCACUCUUUCAUACUUUGCUUCGCCCACAUAUGUCCAUUACUGGUUCGAGUUAUUGGUCUGUAGACUUCCUAGAAAAUCUAACUCUCGACAUCGAGGAAGAUAUCCGGGCCCUGCAGCUUGAUUCAUCGGAAGGUAAUGGUGUGAUGGCUAAUGUCGAAGAUGUGAAGCCUCAAGAUGUUGAGAAACCUGAUUUGAAGGAUGAGGUCAAUGUGACCUCAAAGCCAGUGACAAUUGAACCAGAAUGCACCUCAGAAGUUAAACAUAAGGAUACUGGAGAUAAGAUGGAGGACAUCAGGAAGCGGCACUUGAAUGUUGUAUUUAUUGGACAUGUUGAUGCGGGGAAGUCAACUAUCGGAGGGCAGAUACUCUUCCUUAGUGGUCAGGUUGAUGACCGUACAAUCCAAAAAUAUGAGAAAGAAGCAAAGGAUAAAAGUCGAGAGAGCUGGUACAUGGCGUAUAUUAUGGACACAAAUGAAGAGGAGAGGGUUAAGGGGAUAACAGUUGAGGUUGGAAGAGCCCAGUUUGAAACAGAAACAACGAGAUUUACGAUUCUGGAUGCACCGGGUCACAAAAGUUAUGUACCGAAUAUGAUCACUGGGGCAUCUCAAGCCGAUAUUGGUGUACUAGUGAUAUCUGCUCGAAAAGGUGAAUUUGAAACUGGAUAUGAAAGAGGUGGACAAACUCGUGAACAUGUCCAACUUGCUAAGACUUUGGGUGUCUCAAAGCUGUUUGUUGUUGUGAAUAAGAUGGAUGAUCCUACUGUAAACUGGUCAAAAGAGAGGUAUGAUGAAAUUGAAUCGAAGAUGACUCCAUUCCUAAGAUCUUCAGGAUACAAUGUGAAGAAAGACGUUCAGUUUCUUCCCUUAUCUGGGCUUGUUGGUUCAAACAUGAAAACGAGAGUGGACAAAAGUAUUUGUCCAUGGUGGAAUGGUUCAUGUCUUUUGGAAGCUCUUGAUGCCGUUGAAGUUCCCCAGCGUGACCCUAAAGGUCCAUUAAGGUUGCCUAUUAUUGACAAAUUUAAGGACUUGGGAACUGUUGUCAUGGGCAAAGUUGAAUCUGGCAGCGUACGCGAGGGUGAUAACUUGUUGGUCAUGCCAAAUAGGGCCCAAGUUAAAGUUUUGGCCAUAUACUGUGAUGAAGAUAAAGUUAGGCAUGCUGGACCUGGUGAGAAUCUAAGGGUUAGGUUAUCUGGGAUAGAAGAAGAGGACAUAUUAUCAGGUUUUGUCUUGUGCAGUGUUGCGAACCCAAUACCUGCAGUAUCUGAGUUCGUUGCCCAGUUACAGAUCCUCGAGUCGCUGGACAAUGCAAUUUUUACUGCUGGCUACAAGGCUGUCUUGCACAUUCAUGCUAUUGUGGAGGAAUGUGAGAUUGUUGAGCUGAUGCAACAGAUUGAUCCAAAGACAAAAAAACCUAUGAAGAAGAAAAUUCUCUUUGUGAAGAACGGUGCAGUAGUUAUAUGUCGCAUGCAGGUGAAUAACACAAUAUGCAUUGAGAAGUUCACUGCAUUUCCACAGCUUGGAAGGUUCACUCUUCGUACUGAAGGGAAAACAGUUGCGGUGGGAAAAGUUAUUGAUGUUCUUUCCUAAGUCAAACAUUUUUGAUGUGGUAGGUAGAAUUUUGAAUUCUUGCAUGUCCUUUACAUGACCAGUUGUAGACUAUAGAAGUUGCCUCCCAGCCCAGUUAGGCAGGCAAGCUGUACCAGUGGUGCAACAAUUUUUAAGGAAACAAAUCAAGCAGAAGUACAGAAGGGCCUUCUACCCACAUUUAUGAGCUUGCAUAGAUUAUGAUACAGCAUGACAUACUAUAGCUACUCGUGCCGAUUGUAACAUGAUUUGUGUCGAUUGUAACAUGAUUUGUUCUUGAUUUUGGUUGAUGGUGUAUGAUUGUAGUUCAUUAAUCCCUAUUUAAGAAGGUUAAACUUUGCAAGGGUAGCUGUCGACUUAUAUAGACUGGAUGCUGGAGUUGCUAAUGAAUGAGUCAUGCAAUGUGGUUAAAAUAGAUAUGUACACAAUAACGAUACCCAUUAUUGUUCCGACGACUCUUCUUGCUUUAGUUAUUUCAAAAGCUCAGGAACGAAUAUGUGCUGAAUAGAAAGAUUCCUGUUACAAGUAAUGAAGAAUCACGGGUUGGAGUCCAUUGAUUUCCUUCCUUUUUGUGGAUUA